rnacentral:piRNA from 1 species
UGAUAGACCUCCUUCAGUGCACAGGUCCCU